rnacentral:rRNA from 1 species
GCGGAACACGAGGAAUUCCGUCGGAAUCCGGGAGGACCAUCUCCCAAGGCUAAAUACUCCCUAGUGACCGAUAGUGAACCAGUACCGUGAGGGAAAGGUGAAAAGCACCCCGGAAGGGGAGUGAAAUAGAACCUGAAACCGUGUGCCUACAACAAGUCAAAGCCCGUUAAUGGGUGAUGGCGUGCCUUUUGUAGAAUGAACCGGCGAGUUACGAUUGCAUGCGAGGUUAAGUCGAAGAGACGGAGCCGCAGCGAAAGCGAGUCUGAAUAGGGCGUUUGAGUAUGUAGUCGUAGACCCGAAACCAUGUGAUCUACCCAUGUCCAGGUUGAAGGUGCGGUAAAACGCACUGGAGGACCGAACCCACGUACGUUGAAAAGUGCGGGGAUGAGGUGUGGGUAGCGGAGAAAUUCCAAACGAACUUGGAGAUAGCUGGUUCUCUCCGAAAUAGCUUUAGGGCUAGCCUCGGAUUUGAGAAUGAUGGAGGUAGAGCACUGUUUGGACUAGGGGCCCAUCUCGGGUUACCGAAUUCAGAUAAACUCCGAAUGCCAUUCAUUCAUAUCCGGGAGUCAGACUGUGAGUGAUAAGAUCCAUAGUCGAAAGGGAAACAGCCCAGACCACCAGCUAAGGUCCCAAAAUAUAUGUUAAGUGGAAAAGGAUGUGGGGUUGCACAGACAACUAGGAUGUUGGCUCAGAAGCAGCCACCAUUUAAAGAGUGCGUAAUAGCUCACUAGUCGAGUGACCCUGCGCCGAAAAUGUACCGGGGCUAAACAUAUUACCGAAGCUGUGGAGUACACCAUGAGGUGUAUUGGUAGGAGAGCGUUCUAAGGGCGUUGAAGGCAGAUCGUGAGGACUGCUGGAGCGCUUAGAAGUGAGAAUGCCGGUAUGAGUAGCGAAAGACAGGUGAGAAUCCUGUCCACCGAAUGACUAAGGUUUCCUGGGGAAGGCUCGUCCGCCCAGGGUUAGUCGGGACCUAAGCCGAGGCCGACAGGCGUAGGCGAUGGACAACAGGUUGAUAUUCCUGUACUCGUUGUUUUUGUUUGAGCAAUGGAGGGACGCAGGAGGCUAAGGAAUGCAGACGAUUGGAAAUGUCUGUCCAAGCAGUAAGUCUUGAUAGGAGUCAAAUGCUUCUGUCUACACGGAUAAGCUGUGAUGGGGAGGGAAAUAAUAGUACCGAAGUUCCUGAUGUCACACUGCCAAGAAAAGCUUCUAGUGAGAAAACAAUGACCCGUACCGCAAACCGACACAGGUAGUCGAGGAGAGAAUCCUAAGGUGAGCGAGAGAACUCUCGUUAAGGAACUCGGCAAAAUGACCCCGUAACUUCGGGAGAAGGGGUGCUGAUCUUCGAUCAGCCGCAGUGAAUAGGCCCAAGCGACUGUUUAUCAAAAACACAGGUCUCUGCAAAAUCGUAAGAUGAAGUAUAGGGGCUGACGCCUGCCCGGUGCUGGAAGGUUAAGAGGAGUGCUUAGCGUAAGCGAAGGUACGAAUUGAAGCCCCAGUAAACGGCGGCCGUAACUAUAACGGUCCUAAGGUAGCGAAAUUCCUUGUCGGGUAAGUUCCGACCCGCACGAAAGGCGUAACGAUUUGGGCACUGUCUCAACGAGAGACUCGGUGAAAUUUUAGUACCUGUGAAGAUGCAGGUUACCCGCGACAGGACGGAAAGACCCCAUGGAGCUUUACUGUAGUUUGAUAUUGAGUGUCUGUACCGCAUGUACAGGAUAGGUAGGAGCCGUAGAAAUCGGAACGCUAGUUUCGAUGGAGGCGCUGGUGGGAUACUACCCCUGCGUUAUGGCCACUCUAACCCGCACCACUGAUCGUGGUGGGAGACAGUGUCAGAUGGGCAGUUUGACUGGGGCGGUCGCCUCCUAAAAGGUAACGGAGGCGCCCAAAGGUUCCCUCAGAAUGGUUGGAAAUCAUUCGAAGAGUGUAAAGGCAGAAGGGAGCUUGACUGCGAGACCAACAAGUCGAGCAGGGACGAAAGUCGGGCUUAGUGAUCCGGUGGUUCCGCAUGGAAGGGCCAUCGCUCAACGGAUAAAAGCUACCCUGGGGAUAACAGGCUUAUCUCCCCCAAGAGUCCACAUCGACGGGGAGGUUUGGCACCUCGAUGUCGGCUCGUCGCAUCCUGGGGCUGUAGUCGGUCCCAAGGGUUGGGCUGUUCGCCCAUUAAAGCGGCACGCGAGCUGGGUUCAGAACGUCGUGAGACAGUUCGGUCCCUAUCCGUCGCGGGCGUUGGAAAUUUGAGAGGAGCUGUCCUUAGUACGAGAGGACCGGGAUGGACUUACCGCUGGUGUACCAGUUGUUCUGCCAAGGGCAUUGCUGGGUAGCUAUGUAGGGAAGGGAUAAACGCUGAAAGCAUCUAAGUGUGAAGCCCACCUCAAGAUGAGAUUUCCCAUUUCUUUAAGAAAGUAAGAUCCCUGAGAGAUGAUCAGGUAGAUAGGUCAGGAGUGGAAGGCCAGUGAUGGUUGGAGCGGACUGAUACUAAUCGAUCGAGGACUUAACCAA